CGCGUGUCCAAAAGCCAGCGCUGCCGCCCCCCCCGGCCUCCCCUGCGUGCGGAGAAUAUCGCCGGCAGCACACGCGCGCACCGGCGCGCCUCUCCGCUCUUUCGGCCGCAGGGUAGUCCCUGGAAGGGGGCAUCUCCAAGAGAAGCGGCUAGACCCAGCGACCCAGCCGUUCGCUUUGGUCGCCACCUGUGAGGCGAGCAUCCGAGCGCAACGGGAGUCUGGGAGCUGUAUCAAAAAGAGCUGGAACCAACGACAGCAAAUGCUGACGGAGAGGGAAGCCGGACGAGCGGCAUGUAGGGGAUUAAUACCUAAGGGACGGGGUUGAAACGAGGAGGCAGAAACGCAGCGGACCCUCGGUAUCCUCAGCAGCUGCCACGGUAGCGGCAGGUGUUCCGCCACGGGCAAGUCAAGCAGGGAACGACGACGGGCUGUCGUGAAGAACUACAGGCUGCCGCCCUCUGACCUCGGCAGGUGACGCGCCGAGAGCAGCCGGGAGAAUCCGAAUGCCGGUCUUGGCAAGUUCUCUGCCUGGUGCUGACGAGGAGCCUUUGACAGUAGGAAGGUUGGCAGCGUCCGUACCUGAACCGUGGAGUAGUAAGCUGCAGUUCACGGACCAGCAGAGGAGGCGGGGGGCGGGGGCCGGCGGGGGGGAGGGGGGAUAGGGGGAUAGUGACCGGUUGAAGGGAUUGAUUGCACGGACUCCUGAUAGGUUCUGAUCAGAAGACGUCUAUCCAUAUCAGAAGGCAAAAUAUAUCUAUCGAUACAGUAAGCACGAGUUGUGCACGCGACACACACAGCGCAGUGAUUGGGUAUACAGCGACAAGCACGCGCUCCAGCUACUAAAGCGAUUGGUUAUGUCCCUUGAUACAAUUUUCUCACAAGCAGACACCACGGUUAUCUGCUUGGCUCAUAUUCUGCGUUCUUGUUCUGUUUCUCACAGCACACCUGCUUCUAGUUUCAGUUGAAGGACGGGUCGCCUAGCUCAGCGUCUAACAAACCCCACAACCGGUGGCCCGGUCGCUAUGGCGCUGCUGUUGCUAGCAGAGCCACCAGGUCUGUGUGAAGCCUUAGGUGCCUGCUUGGAGCAGUGUUUUGGUCUGCUCACCUGGAAGAAGCAGCGAGGCCUAAAAUAAGACUUUGUUGCGGCUACAUGGGUAAGCUGCGACCCCACGUGUCUUUGCCUUGCUUUGCUGCCUCAUGUCGUAAGAGCGACUUGGGAAUAAAAACCGCUUACGGGGGUGCUUAAGGGAGGAUCUGCGUUCUGCCCAGCUUAGGGAGCUAUAGCGAAAGCUUGGGGAGGGGA